GGACGCUUGGUGUAGUGGUAGCAUUUCUGAUUCCAGCCUUCAGAUUGGGGAAUCUAAAGCGGGAAAUCCAGACGACACCUGUUCAAACCAGGUAGCGUUCA